rnacentral:rRNA from 1 species
UACAGAGGGUGCAAGCGUUGUUCGGAAUUACUGGGCGUAAAGCGCGUGUAGGGGGUUUGAUAAGUCGGUCGUGAAAUCCCUUGGCUUAACCAAGGAACUGCGAUCGAAACUAUCAGACUUGAGUGUCGGAGAGGAUGGCGGAAUUCCCGGUGUAGAGGUGAAAUUCGUAGAUAUCGGGAGGAACACCUGUGGCGAAGGCGGCCAUCUGGAAGACAACUGACGCUGAGACGCGAAAGCGUGGAGAGCAAACAGG